rnacentral:rRNA from 1 species
GACGAACGCUGGCGGCGUGCUUAACACAUGCAAGUCGAACGGAAAGGCCUUUUCGGAGGUACUCGAGUGGCGCACGGGUGCGUAACACGUGGGUGAUCUGCCCUGCACUCUGGGAUAAGCCUGGGAAACUGGGUCUAAUACCGGAUAGGACCGCACUUUAGUGUGUGUGGUGGAAAGUUGUUUCGGUGUAGGAUGAGCCCGCGGCCUAUCAGCUUGUUGGUGGGGUAAUGGCCUACCAAGGCGGCGACGGGUAGCCGGACUGAGAGGUUGGUCGGCCACAUUGGGACUGAGAUACGGCCCAGACUCCUACGGGAGGCAGCAGUGGGGAAUAUUGCACAAUGGGCGCAAGCCUGAUGCAGCGACGCCGCGUGGGGGAUGACGGCCUUCGGGUUGUAAACUCCUUUCGCCAGGGACGAAGCGUUUUGUGACGGUACCUGGAGAAGAAGCACCGGCUAACUACGUG